rfam:Oryza meridionalis cultivar OR44 (W2112) chromosome 2, whole genome shotgun sequence.
UUUAAGUGCAACCAUAAGUUUUCGCGCCUAACUUUAAUCGUCCAUCUUAUUUGAAAUUUUUUUAUAAUUAAUAUUUAUUUUAUGAGAUGAUAAAAUAUAAAUAGUAUUUUACUGGCGACUUAUGUUUUAAUUUUUUUAAAAAAUAAUUUCAAAUAAGAUAGUAGCUCAGAAUUUGACGCAUAAAACCAUGCUGCACUUAAA